rnacentral:rRNA from 1 species
UACGUAGGUGGCAAGCGUUGUCCGGAAUCACUGGGCGUAAAGCGCGCGCAGGCGGCGAUCUACGUCUGGGGUGAAAGCCCGGAGCUCAACUCCGGGACUGCCUUGGAUACGGGAUCGCUUGAGGAUUGGAGAGGCAAGGGGAAUUCCACGUGUAGCGGUGAAAUGCGUAGAUAUGGGGAGGAACACCGGUGGCGAAGGCGGCCACCUGGACGGAUACUGACGCUGAGACGCGAAAGCGUGGGUAGCAAACAGG